GAUGAAGAACGUAGCGAAAUGCGAUAAGUAGUGUGAAUUGCAGAAUUCAGUGAAUCAUCGAAUCUUUGAACGCACAUUGCGCCCCUUGGUCCUCCAUGGGGCAUGCCUGUUCGAGCGUCAUUUACACCCUCAAGCUCAGCUUGGUGUUGGGCGUCUGUCCCGCUUCGUGCGCGGACUCGCCUCAAAUGCAUUGGCAGCGGUCUUGCCAGCUUCUCGCGCAGCACAUUGCGCUUCUAGAGGCUUUGGCGGAUCGGCGUCCAUCAAGUACACCCACAGUUUGACCUCGGAUCAGGUAGGGAUACCCGCUGAACUUAAGCAUAUCAAUAAGCGGAGGA
rnacentral:misc_RNA from 1 species